rnacentral:rRNA from 1 species
GGGCCCGCACAAGCGGAGGAACAUGUGGUUUAAUUCGAUGAUACGCGAGGAACCUUACCCGGGCUUGAAAUAUAUCUGACUGUCCAAGAGAUUGGACUUCCAGCAAUGGCAGAUAUGUAGGUGCUGCAUGGUUGUCGUCAGCUCGUGCCGUGAGGUGUCGGCUUAAGUGCCAUAACGAGCGCAACCCCUAUCAUUAGUUGCUAGCAGGUAAUGCUGAGGACUCUAAUGAGACUGCCACCGUAAGGUGUGAGGAAGGUGGGGAUGACGUCAAAUCAGCACGGCCCUUACGUCCGGGGCGACACACGUGUUACAAUGGGAGGUACAGAGGGUAGCUACCUGGCGACAGGGAUGCCAAUCUCUUAAAGCCUCUCUCAGUUCGGAUUGGAGUCUGCAACUCGACUCCAUGAAGCUGGAUUCGCUAGUAAUCGCGCAUCAGCCAUGGCG